UGCAGUCAUAGACGACUAUACCCAGGAUUUCUGUGUUUUAUCAUGAUCCCCAUGAACCCUGAAUGUGUGCUCAGGGAGCCUGGUCAACCAGAACAAGGAUGAAGACAUACUGGCCACUGCUUGAGAAGCCCCAGGGACAGGGGCUUCGAAGAACAAUCACCUCAAAUGCCUGCAACCAUCUCUGGAAGUUGAGUUGGGAUUGCCUGAUGAAAGGUGUGAAUGAGAGAACCACCACACUGUGAUGACAUUUGCCCACUGUCGAGAGCAAGACAAAUGACUGUUUCCUCUUCAGACCCAGCAGAGACAAGAACGUGCUGGACAAAGUCACUCAGAACUCAGCCCUCUGAGGAGAAAGGGCUUGAUGCAAAGCAGGGAGUGGGUGAUGAACCCUGGGACCAAUCAAGUAAGGUUAUGAUCCUCCUAUGUGCAAGCCCCAGACCUUCAGUAAUGACCCAACCCCCCCCCACCCCCACUGAUGAGGCCUGGAAUGCUUCGUGGCAGCCCCUCCCUAAAGAUGUUCAUGUGAUAGAACGACAAAGCAGUGCUGUGUGUGUGUGUGUGUGUGUGU